rnacentral:rRNA from 1 species
AUUGAACGCUGGCGGCAGGCUUAACACAUGCAAGUCGAACGAGUGGCGGACGGGUGAGUAAGGCUUGGGAAUCUGGCUUAUGGAGGGGAAUAACGACGGGAAACUGUCGCUAAUACAGCGUACCAGAGGAUGCGCCCAAUUGGGAUUAGGUAGUUGGUGGGGUAAUGGCCGAACAAGCCGACGAUCUCUAGCUGGUCUGAGAGGAUGACCAGCCACACCGGGACUGAGACACGGCCCGUACUCCUACGGUAGUCAGCAGUGGGGAAUAUUGCGCAAGGGGGGCAACCUUCCGCAUCCAUGCCGCGUGAAUGAGGAAGGCCUUCGGGUUGUAAAGUGCUUUCGGUGACGAGGCGUUAAUCACAGAAGAAGCACCGGCUAACUCCGUGCCAGCAGCCGCGGUAAUAC